GAAACGUAAAUGGAAGUAGUUUUGAGAUUAUAAACUUAGGGGGAAAUAAAAGAUGGGAACAAUCGUAUGCCAAGUAUGUGAAGGAACAAUUGCACACUUUGAAGAUGAAAAAACAACAGUGCUUUACGGGAAAUGUGGAACUCAUUGCGAAUGUGAUCAUAAUGAACAUACAAAAGCUUAAUAAUAGAGAAAACGCCUGCAGAUGCAGGCGUUUUUUUAAUA
rfam:Bacillus gaemokensis strain JCM 15801 contig1, whole genome shotgun sequence.